AUUGUGAUUGCUGGGUCAUAUGGUAAGGGAAGGUUUAGUUUUGUAAGAGACCACCAAACUGUCUUCCAAAGUGGCUGCACCAUUUUGCAUUCCCACUAGCAAU
rnacentral:pre_miRNA from 1 species